GAAUGUGAGUGACACAAUGUACUAGCUGCCAUCGGCAGAACAAUAUCCUUUCCUCUUUUCUUUUUUUACAAUUUCUCGUAGCUGAGAAAUUAUUGGCACACCGCGUUGGACUUUGGCCACAACAGUAGAGCUGUGGUCCAAUGGCAGGGCUUUGUUUGUGUGCUGCGGCUGUGUGGGAAAAGGAAUCAGAAGAGGCUUGUUAACACAUCAAGCUGUCAGCCGGUUCCUCUCGUCUGUGCCGAGCAGAGGAGAGGAGGCACAUUUUAUUUAUCGUUUGUCUUCUCACUCUGCCGCCUCGGCCAUCUGUUGCUUGGGCGCUCUGCAAUUGGCUAAAACAAACUCUGCGUGUUUUCAUGACGGUGUGUUUGUGAAGCAGAAACGGAGUGCGAGCGAAUAAAGAGGAACUCUUUCAGAAUGUACUGACGCAAGUGGCCGAGCAGUUUUCAAGGGCAUUCAAAAUCAACGAGCUGAAGACCGAGGUCACGAACCGUCUCGCCAUGUUGGAAAAGAGAGUCGAGCAUUAAUUCCCCCCCAUGGAGUCCAGACCCUGGUGGUGGUGAGGCUGAUGACUUGUUGGGACCGGAUGGGUGAAAAGUUGAUGGAUGAUGAUUCUGUGAAGACGGGCGGUGAUGGGGAGGACGAGGGGCGCAUGAGACAUUGGCAUGAAGGAACUAAAGGCAGAGAAAGAAACAUAUUUAAAAGAGGAGCAGAACGUUGACAGGCUGACAAUGAGGGAGGAACGCCAUGCCAUUGGUUAGAUGAGGCCAGCUGAUUACCCAAUCACAGCCCCAGAAAAUGACACCUCGAGGAUGACAGCUGAAAA